AUGCGCAGAGUACCUCCACUACUUCAUGAACACGGAAGUAAAGAUGUAUAAAAAGGGGCUGUUUGAACUGCUCAGCACGGCAGUUGGCGGAGCGCAGACUCCCCUGUCGUCCAGCGCUGGUUUUGCUCAUAUUCUACUUGCUAUAAUUAAUAAAAUUUUAAUUGGAUUAUGAUCCGUUGUGGUCUCAAUUUAUAACAAUUUCUGGUGCCGUGACUCGGAUAAGGAACGGUGGGUUUUGGUCCUCUGGGGAGAGGCCCCGCGACAUUUCGCGGCCCCGCGACCAACAGCUUACCCCAACCUUACCAACGAACCUAAAUUCUAGAAUAAUGAGCAAAGGAGAAACCGGUAAAAUCCCAUAAAAUUCUGUGCACGGGAGUCUGGACGAAGACGCAGGACGCAAACAGCUGUCCGAACUGCUGAGCGUGGAUGGACUCAUGCCAGUCGCAUUAAAGGCCCAGUGACGAGACCCCACUGGAAAGUAAUCAGUACUCCAGGUGACACCAAGAUAACCCUGAAAAGAUAACUUAAAGCUGCAAAGUGGGAAGCCUAUGUAAACAGGCAGAAAGCCCGAAACAACUGUUCUCCUGAAGAAUUCCCUUGCUGCCGAGAAGAUGGUACACCCCAUGACUCGAAGCAACCGAGCCGACGGGCAAGGCAGAGGAGGAACAAAAUGUGGAGAAAAGAACCAGAACAAUGGGACGCAAAAGCAGCAAUGGCCAAACUUCCCCAGGACUGGUAAAAAUAUACUUAAAUUGGCAAAAUUAACAGACACCCUUUUUCCUGGUAUACCGUUAGUUUUGUUAUUGAUAAUAACCCAAGCAAAUGGAAACCCUCAUGAACCUAUGGUAUG